rnacentral:misc_RNA from 1 species
GAUGAAGAACACAGCGAAAUGCGAUAAGUAAUGUGAAUUGCAGAAUUCAGUGAAUCAUCGAAUCUUUGAACGCACAUUGCGCCCGCCAGUAUUCUGGCGAGCAUGCCUGUUCGAGCGUCAUUUCAACCAUCAAGCCCCAGGCUUGUGUUGGAGCCCUGCGGCUGCCGCAGCCUCCCAAAACCAGUGGCGGGCUCGCUAUCACACCGAGUGCAGUAGUUUACUCUUCGCUCAGGGCGUGUGGCGGGUGCUAGCCGUGAAACCCCCAACUUCUCAAGGUUGACCUCGGAUCAGGUAGGAAUACCCGCUGAACUUAAGCAUAUCAAUAAGCGGAGGA